rnacentral:lncRNA from 1 species
ACACCCGCAGCGUCCCGGGCCCCGCUUUCCUUUUCAAGGGGCGGGUUGUAGAUCGCGCGCGCACCCUGGAGAGCCCGCUGGUUUGUGUGAGGCCCUGGCCCUGUGGGUAGCAGAACACUCUGUCUCGCUGUGAGCAACAAUACACUAAAAAAAAAAGAAAAGAAAAAAAAAAGUCUGUUUGGACGCACAUGUGGAAAAAUAGCUAGCAGCCAGCCUAGCAUCUGAUGAGCUGGAGCAUCCAAGCAAAAGAAACAUUUUUAAAAAGCAAAACAUCAGACCCACCUCCCAUUCAACUCCCCUAGAGGACUGGGCAACACAGAGACACACAACUAUCAAAUAUAGUGAUUCUUUUUCUUCAUCUAGCGAAAGUGACUGGCAGACCACACAAGUUGGCAAAGGCAAUGACAAAAUUCCUGAUAUAGUAGUUGUCCUUAAAAAAAAAAAAAGACCUUUAAACUUAAUGACAUCCAGCAUUAACCAUCUUUACAGCAGUCAGCAGAGAGAAGGACCUUGACACUGGUUCACUGGAAAGGGUAACCAACCUGAUGCACACCUUUUGUUUCAGCAAUCACUGCCUGUUGUGUGAUUUCUGAUUAUGAUUAGGGUGACCACAUAACUUACCUCCAAAUCAAAAUAUUCUUGAGCAUGAAAGAAGCAACUAUCAAGAAUUACAUUGGAAUAACAUGAAUAAACUGGGCCAUACGGUCCCCACAAUUAUAAAAGAAAGGUCAAAUAUUAAUGAUUUUGCCGUGGAAUUUUACUUGAUGUUUUCACGUCUUCAGAUUCAUUGGCAGUAGUCUUUACCAGAAGAGCUAAAACACUAAAAUUCUGCGAGUCAAGCAAGAGUUUGCAAAACAUCCCACGGAGCCAACACACUAUCUAUACUUGGUACAUAAAUACAGCAUAGCUAAAGAGGAAGGCCACGCUAAGAUCUCUAACCCGGAAGACCAAUUAACUAUCUAAAUGAAUUAGCAUUCUGUUUACACUUCAACUUCUGGAAGCUAAUUACUAUUUAAAUAAAGCCUUCUACCUUAAUUACAGCUGUUAGCACGUGAAAGUUUUAGGGAGGCCUGCCUUCCUAGCUGAAAUGCAAACUUGAGGACAUACAAAGCUAUUAAUGGCAUACAAAGCUAAUAAAGGCAGAAUCUUAAGUAAAUGGCUUUAAAAAUUAAGUAUAUAUAAAAGGAUAAUUUGUAAAUUUGCUAACUUUUCUUCUCUGCUAGCUAAAAUCUGUAGCUAUUACACCAUAUGUUCACGCACAUUACCAAACUGCAGCUAUGCCAUCUUCCAGAUCAGAACUCUUCAUUUGUGUCUUAAUGUUUACUACAAUUCCUCGCACAUACAAGGAGUUCAAUAAGCCUUUUUAAAAUUGAAUUAAUAUGUAGAACAGAUACUAGAACCCAGAUCUUCUAGAUUUCUUUCCAGCUCUUCCGUUUUUCUGACUUUGACCCUUCUUGCAUGUUUAAGUCAUUUAUUCAGUUGAUGAAAUACGUAUUAGGUACUCACUAAACUAAGCACUAGGAGGAUUCAGAAAUGAUGAGUAGCCUUUUAGAUCAAAAACACCAUGUGACUUUCUAAAGGUGGAUUUCUUCUGUAGUCUUUCAUCCAAGGAAAGUGACCUGGUAAAUAAACACAAACAAGGGAGUUCGAGGACCAAUGUGAUAUUAACGUUUUAAGCUUGUUCAAAAUUUAUUACUUCUUUAUGUGAGAGCAAGGGAUGGAGUAUUUUGGAUUGGUGGUUAUACCUAUAAUUUGAUAAACACAGAGGAGCAAAUUAAGCAAACUUUUAAGCAAAUUAUUAAUCUGCAAAAAGCCAGUCUCCUUCCCCAGUUAAAAACAAUGUAAUGUUUUCCAGAAUAAAAGAAAGAAAGAAAGCAAGUUGCUCUAAAUAUUCAACUUUAUUUCGCAAUCUGAGGUUCUUCUCUUAUUUUCUUUCCCUCACAUUUCUUUUUAACUAUUUUCAGAAAAUUCAAAAUUAUUUAAUUUUUUCACAUAUAAUUGUCUCGUGUAUGUUCUUAAGUUAUCUUUUAUCUUGAGAGAUACCAAAAACGUCUGCAGUUUUCUGCCUGGAAAAUAUCCUACAGUUAGAGCUAAGCAUUCUUAUCUAUGACAUUACAUCAGUGCAAAGUCAUCACUGGUUAACUAAAUUAUCCAGACUGCUCAUGUUCUUGUCUUUCAUUUAAUUCCAUUUGGUCUGAAUUCUUCACACCACGGUAAUGUAGUUAUCUCCCUGAACAUGCCAGGUUCCCUAUCAGAUAAUUCAGGUAGUAAAGACUUCAAACUUUAUUAUAUUUUAUUUUUCAAGUGCUGCCUCACUUAUUCAAAUUCUUCUGAUCAUUCAGGAACGUUAAGUCAUUCUACAGUUGGAAAGCUGGUAUUUGGCUUUCUUUUACUGAGCCCUAUCUCUAACUCAAAGAUCAAUGUCAAUUAGAUAAAUAUUCAAAAACCUCACCUACUUUAAAUCAUACUUGGAAAAGUUGAUUAAUCUUUUCUAAUAAAAAGAGAAACAUUGAUGUUGCUAAAUUCUAUUUUCAAGGCCUUAUCGUUGUACCUUGGAAGAGUUGAUAGAUGAGGCAGUACCCACAAAAGAACUGGAUGUCCUUGCCCUGAAGUGCAGAAGCUACUAACGAAGGAGGGUGCCACAGACAAAGAGGGAACAAUCAAGCCUGCAUUUUUUCCUGUGGAUUUUUAUUACUUUUUGUACCCCCUAUCGAGUUGCAGAUUAUCCAAAAAGAACAGAAUGCCAUUUACACCAGCUGUUCUUACAGUUCCAAUUUAACUUUAUGGGACUCAUAAUCUCAGAACAAGUCAAUAUAAUACCAAGAGUUUCAGACUCGGUGAUUUUUGCUUCAAUCAUAAAUUCUAUGCUGAUAAGGACAAAGUCUCAGGGUGAAAAAAGAUUAAUGAACAUCACUCUAAACCUAAAAAUAAAACAAUAAUUAAGUUAGGCAAUGUAAAAAUAUAACAUUUGGAAAUAAAACGCAGAUUUGGCCGGGGUUGGUGGCUCAUGCUUGUAAUCCCAGCACUUUGGGAAGCCAAGGCGGGUGGAUCACUUGAGGCCAGGUGUUUGAGACCAGCCCGACCAACAUGGUGAAACCCCAUCUCUUAUUAAAAAUACAAAAAUUAGCUGGGUGUGGUGGUGGGUGCCUAUAUUCCCAGCUACCCAGGAAGCUGAGGCAGGAGAAUCCCUUGAACUCGGGAGGCAGGAGAAUCCCUUGAACUCGGGAGGCAGAAGUUGCAAUGAGUCAAGAUCAUGCCACUGCACUCCAGCCUGGGUGACAAGAGUGAAACUCUGUCUCAAAAAAAAAAAAAGAAAGAAAGAGAAAGGAAGAAAGAAAGAAAGAAGAGAGAGAGAGAAAGAAAGAAAGAGAGAAAG